GUGCCUUAAACUUAUGAGUAAGGAAAAUAAUGAUCCAGGGUAAUGCCCAGAUCCUCACUGAUAAUGUGAGAAUUUUUGAGCAGGUAAAAGUUACCCCUACGGUGACCUGCCUCCUUUGGGGGAUGCCUGGGUGUUGCGAUCUGCCCG